GAAGCCGUACCGGAAGGAGCGGUGGAGCGCUUGGAAGUGAGAAUGCCGGUGUAAGUAGCGAAAAGACAAGUGAGAAUCUUGUCCACCGAAAGCCUAAGGGUUCCUGGGGAAGGCUCGUCCUCCCAGGGUUAGUCGGGACCUAAGCUGAGGCCGAAAGGCGUAGGCGAUGGACAACAGGUUGAUAUUCCUGUACCACCACGAUGGCGUUUGAGCAAUGGCGGGACGCAGGAGGAUAGGGCGAGCGGCCUGCUGGAUGGCCGUCCAAGCAGCAAGCCUGGUGUAUAGGCAAAUCCGUACACCAUAAGGGCAAGCUGUGAUGGCGAGGGAAAUACAAGUACCGAAGUCCCUGAUUUCACACUGCCAAGAAAAGCGUCUAGCGAGUCAUCGGGUGCCCGUACCGCAAACCGACACAGGUAGGCGAGGAGAGAAUCCUAAGGUGCGCGGGAGAACUCUUGCUAAGGAACUCGGCAAAAUGGCCCCGUAACUUCGGGAGAAGGGGCGCCCCGGUAGGGUUCAUAGCCCGAGGGGGCCGCAGUGAAAAGGCCCAAGCGACUGUUUAGCAAAAACACAGGUCUCUGCGAAGCCGCAAGGCGAAGUAUAGGGGCUGACGCCUGCCCGGUGCUGGAAGGUUAAGGGGAUGGGUUAG
rnacentral:rRNA from 1 species